UCCUACGGGAGGCAGCAGUGAGGAAUAUUGGUCAAUGGACGGAAGUCUGAACCAGCCAUGCCGCGUGGAGGAAGAAGGUCCUAUGGGUUGUAAACUCCUUUUGUCCGAGAGUAAUAAGGUCUUUGCGAAGACCGAUGGGAGUAUCGGGCGAAUAAGCAUCGGCUAACUCCGUGCCAGCAGCCGCGGUAAUACGGAGGAUGCAAGCGUUAUCCGGAUUUAUUGGGUUUAAAGGGUGCGCAGGCGGGCUGUUAAGUCAGCGGUGAAAUCUCCCGGCUCAACCGGGGAACUGCCGUUGAUACUGGCAGCCUAGAGUACAGACGGCGCCGGCGGAAUGUGUCAUGUAGCGGUGAAAUGCUUAGAUAUGCCACAGAACACCGAUCGCGAAGGCAGCUGGCGAGGCUGGGGCUGACGCUCAGGCACGAAAGCGUGGGGAUCAAACAGGAUUAGAUACCCUGGUAGUCC
rnacentral:rRNA from 1 species